rnacentral:rRNA from 1 species
CGUGUAGGCGGAUGGGAACGUCGGAUACUGAAAGCCCCCGGCUCAACCGGGGAAGUGGUUCCGAAACGACCUGUCUGGAGGGACGUAGGGGGAUCUGGAACUCCCGGUGGAGCGGUGAAAUGCGUUGAGAUCGGAAGGAACGCCCGUGGCGAAAGCGAGGUCCUGGACGUCUGCUGACGCUGAGACGCGAAAGCUAGGGGAGCAAACGGGAUUAGAUACCCCGGGUAGUCCUAGCCGUAAACGAUGGGCACUGGGUAGGGGGCUCGCCGAUGGGCUCUCUGCCGUAGCGAAAGCGUGAAGUGCCCCCGCCUGGGGGAGUAUGGUCGCAAGGCUGAA